rnacentral:rRNA from 1 species
UACGGAGGGAGCUAGCGUUAUUCGGAAUUACUGGGCGUAAAGCGCACGUAGGCGGCUUUGUAAGUCAGAGGUGAAAGCCUGGAGCUCAACUCCAGAACUGCCUUUGAGACUGCAUCGCUUGAAUCCAGGAGAGGUGAGUGGAAUUCCGAGUGUAGAGGUGAAAUUCGUAGAUAUCGGGAGGAACACCAGUGGCGAAGGCGGCUUUCUGGCCUGUUCUUGACGCUGAGGCGCGAAAGCUAGGGGAGCAAACGGG